AUCGCUUCUCGGCCUUUUGGCUAAGAUCAAGUGUAAAAAAUCAAACAGUAAAAAAUACACUUCAGUGUUGGGAUUUUAAAUGAUAUUUUACUUCUCCCAUAUUUUUCUAUUACUUGAAUUUUAAAUAAAUUUCCUUUUUUAUCAGGGCUUCCCAGGUGGUGCAGUGGUAAGCAGGAGUUGCAAAAGAUGCAGGUUCAGUCCCUGGACUGGGAAGAUCCCCU
rnacentral:snRNA from 1 species